ACCUGGACCGGACAGACCCCCUAAAGCUCAGAGACCUGGACCAGGACCAGGACCUGGACCCAGCUGUGUGUCCAUGAAAAGUACUGAUUCUAAGGGCUGGCCAAUUGACUUCCAACAGGAUGGUUCAUCAGAGUCAUCGAUCCAUCAGAGACCACAGUCCUCUGGACCUGAUCCUGGACCCAGUGGUGUGUCC